GGCCUCAUCGUCUAGUGGACCAGGACUCCGGGUUUUCAGUCCGGCAACAGGGGUUCGAAUCCCCUUGAGGUCA
rnacentral:tRNA from 1 species